GAUGAACGCUGGCGGCGUGCCUAAUACAUGCAAGUCGAGCGAACGGACGAGAAGCUUGCUUUUCUGAUGUUAGCGGCGGACGGGUGAGUAACACGUGGAUAACCUACCUAUAAGACUGGGAUAACUUCGGGAAACCGGAGCUAAUACCGGAUAAUAUUUUGAACCGCAUGGUUCAAAAGUGAAAGACGGUCUUGCUGUCACUUAUAGAUGGAUCCGCGCUGCAUUAGCUAGUUGGUAAGGUAACGGCUUACCAAGGCAACGAUGCAUAGCCGACCUGAGAGGGUGAUCGGCCACACUGGAACUGAGACACGGUCCAGACUCCUACGGGAGGCAGCAGUAGGGAAUCUUCCGCAAUGGGCGAAAGCCUGACGGAGCAACGCCGCGUGAGUGAUGAAGGUCUUCGGAUCGUAAAACUCUGUUAUUAGGGAAGAACAUAUGUGUAAGUAACUGUGCACAUCUUGACGGUACCUAAUCAGAAAGCCACGGCUAACUACGUGCCAGCAGCCGCGGUAAUACGUAGGUGGCAAGCGUUAUCCGGAAUUAUUGGGCGUAAAGCGCGCGUAGGCGGUUUUUUAAGUCUGAUGUGAAAGCCCACGGCUCAACCGUGGAGGGUCAUUGGAAACUGGAAAACUUGAGUGCAGAAGAGGAAAGUGGAAUUCCAUGUGUAGCGGUGAAAUGCGCAGAGAUGUGGAGGAACACCAGUGGCGAAGGCGACUUUCUGGUCUGUAACUGACGCUGAUGUGCGAAAGCGUGGGGAUCAAACAGGAUUAGAUACCCUGGUAGUCCACGCCGUAAACGAUGAGUGCUAAGUGUUAGGGGGUUUCCGCCCCUUAGUGCUGCAGCUAACGCAUUAAGCACUCCGCCUGGGGAGUACGACCGCAAGGUUGAAACUCAAAGGAAUUGACGGGGGCCCGCACAAGCGGUGGAGCAUGUGGUUUAAUUCGAAGCAACGCGAAGAACCUUACCAAAUCUUGACAUCCUUUGACAACUCUAGAGAUAGAGCCUUCCCCUUCGGGGGACAAAGUGACAGGUGGUGCAUGGUUGUCGUCAGCUCGUGUCGUGAGAUGUUGGGUUAAGUCCCGCAACGAGCGCAACCCUUAAGCUUAGUUGCCAUCAUUAAGUUGGGCACUCUAAGUUGACUGCCGGUGACAAACCGGAGGAAGGUGGGGAUGACGUCAAAUCAUCAUGCCCCUUAUGAUUUGGGCUACACACGUGCUGCAAUGGACAAUACAAAGGGCAGCGAAACCGCGAGGUCAAGCAAAUCCCAUAAAGUUGUUCUCAGUUCGGAUCGUAGUCUGCAACUCGACUACAUGAAGCUGGAAUCGCUAGUAAUCGUAGAUCAGCAUGCUACGGUGAAUACGUUCCCGGGUCU
rnacentral:rRNA from 1 species